UCGAGAGGCGUUCGUUCCCCUGGAGAUGCGGGAUUUCCGUUGUGGUGCAGCUGGCGGUUGAGGCGAGUUAAUGUGUGUACGAGACGGGCAAGAGACGCCGUGGGAGACGGUGUUGGGGCCGACGUCAGAGGGGUUUGACGAUGAUCUUGUAACGGGCGGCCCAGCAGAUGUAUUUUACCCAGCCCACGGAUUCUUGUUGGUCUAGUCCCCAUUCGAUCCUCAAAUCGAGAGAAGAAACCCUAGCCGCCCCGCAGUGUUUCCUUUAGUACACCACAAAUCGAAGAAGAGAGAAAAAUUAGGUUGCAAAGAUGGCAGAUCCAGGUGCUGACCCAGUUGCUCUGCCGAUAGUGCCUUGUCCGGACUGCGGCAGGAACGUGGUCACCUAAAUAGCGCGGCGCGGGCAGAACGCCGGCCAGCGAUUCUACAAGUGCCGGAAUCACAACCCAUCAGGGGUGGAUGCGAUUUCUACAGAUGGGAGGAAGCCUACGCGGCGCAUGUUGCGACUUUUGGAGGAGCAGCACAUCCAGUGUGGCAAAUCGGGGCAGGUCAGAUGCAGGGCGGGCAGGCGGCUGGAGCUCAAGUUGUGCAGGCGCCGCAGGUUCAUCCGGUUCAGCAAAACGGAGCGCCGGAGGCGUCGCAGGCUGCAUCCUUUGCAAGUACAGUCGCAGGAUACAUGCUGGCAGCGGCUCCAGUUGCGGGUCGUCAGGGUGCCAAAGUCGCCGAUGCUGCAUCCAUAAAUUUGGUGGUCUCCGUAACAAAUUUAGUGAUUGGUGGCGGAUGUUGUCCUGCGUGUGCUGAAUUAGGUUCUGUGGUGGAGAUGACAGCGAGAGUUGCUGGGAGUAGUGUUAAGUGCUAUGUAAAUUAAGCUGCUAAGUACGUUUUAGGUGGUCAAAGUGUGGUGGUCAGUACUAAGUGACGCUGUACCCGUGUAGCGCCAAUGAUGGUGUAGCUGGAGACAGUUUUGGAGGUGGAAAUGUACUGCUGAUGGUGUACUAGUGUCAUCCAAAUAUUAUGAAUGAAAUGGUUUCAUGUUUACAUGCAGUAAAA